GGGUUGUUAUUGGAGCUGAAGAGCCGAAAUUCACUCACGAAUCGGUUCAUUGGAACCGAACCAUUGGAUCGGCCGCAUGUUGGUCUAGUAAUGGAUAUAAUUUUAAUCCAUAUUCAGAACAAAUAAUCGGACCAUUUAUUCAACGGGUACCCGGGUUUCUUCUUCCUCCCAAAUUCUGAUCAAGCCAAAGUGGUUCCUUGCACGAGUGUUUGAAUAAUUUCUGUUAAUGUGAUUUGUUCAAGACUUCAAGCCUACUAGUACUACAAUUGUGGUUCGGCCUUACAAUUGACAUGUGGUGAUCUGGUGAGCAGAUGAUAGGUUAUAUGAUUGUGACUGGUCAUUUCAUUGAUUCAAAAUGAUAGCUUCACAAGAGAGUUUUAUCUUUUAAGAAUGUGCCACCACCACAUUCUGGUGAGGUUUUGUGUAAGGAAUUGAUUAAGGUCAUGGAUGAUUGGGGAAUAAGGGAUAAGGUUGUUUCAAUUUCAGUUGAUAAUGCUAGUGCCAAUGAUAAUUGCAUUUUAGGUUGAAGAGAGAUUAUUCUGGUAGGAGAAAUCUACCAUUGAAUGGUAAACUGUUUCAUGUGAGAUUUUGUGCACACAUCUUAAAUUUGUUGGUUCAAAAUGGUCUUGAUAUGAUUAAGGUGACUGUUGAUAAAAUUAGAAAUGGAGUCAAAUACUUGCUGAAUUCUGAAACUAGAUGUAAAGCCUUCAAAAAAAUUGUUGAUGAGUUGCAACUUAAAGGCAGAAUGCAAGUGUUGGACACUAAGACAAGGUGGAACUCAACUUGGUUGAUACCACUACAGAGAAGUCUGGCCUAGAUAUGCUGAAGAAAAUGGUGCAUUUCUCAACUAUUUGCCUGAUGCAAAUGAUUGGGAAGAUGUUCAUGAUAUUUGCAAGUUCUUGGAGGUUUUUGCUGAUGUUACAUCAAUUAUUAGUGGCACCUCUUACCAUACUGCCAAUUUGUUUUUGGCUGAGUUUUACAGGGUGAACGUUCUACUUGAUAAACCUUCAAGCAUCUCAAAUAAUCCUCAGCUGCAAGCGCUUGCUAAUGAAACGAAGUUGAAAUAUGACAAGUAUUGGUUAGAGUCUAAUACAUUAAUUUUUAUUGGUGCAGUUAUUGAUCCAAGGUAUAAAAUGAUCUUCAUCAAAUGAGUAUAUCCAUUAUUGUAUCCAAAUCCUACUCAAGCCACUGCCUAUGAAUAAGAGUUAACAACUAAUUCUUCCAAUUGUAUCAAGAUACUUAUGGAACCAAUGAUGAGAAUGUCCGUGUAUCUGAGACUCCAGAGGUUGGAUCUAGUUAUGGAUUGAGAAGGAGGAGUUUUGAGAUGUUUUUAGAAACUGUUGUUGGUAACACUAAUUCAAAAUCUGAUCUUGAAAUAUAUCUCGAGGAGCCUCCCUUGAAAGUUCCCCCUAAAACUAAGUUUGAUGUUUUAACAUGGUGGAUGGGGAAUGAAGCAAAGUAUCCUGUUCUUAGUAAAUUGGCAAAGGAUAUUCUAACUGUUCCAGUUACAACUGUUGCUUCUGAAUAAACAUUUAGUGCUGGUAAAAGGGUUAUUGAUCCGAAACGACAUUCUGUAAAAACUAAGACAGUUGAAAUAGUUCUUUGUGGGGGUGAUUGGGUGAAGGAGAAGUAUGAAAUUGAAAAGGACUGCACUGCUAGCAUUCUUGAAGAACCUCAAGAUGAACCUUUAACAUAUCAUUUUGGUGAGGAUCCGGUUGUCGCUUCUUCUACAACAACAACUUGAAGAUAUAAUUGCAAUGCCAAUGAUGAGAUUGUUCCGAGGCAUCAUUAACAAAUGUAAUGAUAUUUUGUGUUUUUUUUUUUAAACAAAAGUUUCAUAACUCAUGUUUGAACAAUGUUUAAUUAUUUGCAUCAACUUCUAUUUUGAACAUGUGACUUGAAUAUGUGAAUUUUGAUUAAAAUGUAAUGUGACUGUCAAAUACUCAAAUUGGAAUGAGAUUCUGUUAAUUUGUUACUGUAUUUUAUUGUGAAAAU